GGGGAGGCGCGGCGAGGAGAGGGAGGGAAGCUGAGGAGGAGGGGCGAGCGGGUGAACCGAGGACCGCGGGGAGGGAAGACCCGGCGCCCUCGGCAGCUCCCACCGCCGCUCCCAGCCAGAGCGAUGUCCCGUGCGGCGGCGCUGGGAAGGACCUGAGGCCCCCGCCGGCUCCGGCGAAGCAGCGGCUGCUGUGAAGCCCGGGCCCCGCUCUCUCGAGCGAAUAAUCAGCUUAUCAUGCUCCUGAAGAUGGUGUUGGUGCUGAAGAUAAUUACUGCAAAAAAUCAAGCCACGUAAAGCCAAAGUAUCUCCAACUAUGAAUGGAUAGAGAAACUGUGGAACAGAAAUCUGAUGAAAUAUCACACAGCUCUGAAAAAAGAUGCCACCAAAAGUGGUAACAUUUGGCACAAAAUGGAUGACCUUGAGGUGAUUAUGUUGAAUGAAAUCAGUCAAAAAGUGAAAGACAGGACCCUUCCUGGUGGCACAGCUGGU